rnacentral:lncRNA from 1 species
GGGAAGUUGUCGUUGAUGUUGUAGCGUCCACAGGUGGUGGAGGCUGAGCCUGUAGCUGUACUGGCGGCUUGAAUGCAGGUAAAACAGUGACUGUAAGUCAUUGGAGAGCUGGUGCUGUGGGUUCAAGGGUUGGAGUAAGUGUUUGGGAUGCUAGCCUUGCAAUGGAUUCUAGACGAAAUCAUUGACGAGUUGACGCCUAUUGAUUUGACAUAGUGCGGAAAAGUUUCA